CCUACGGGAGGCAGCAGUGGGGAAUAUUGGACAAUGGGCGCAAGCCUGAUCCAGCAAUGCCGCGUGAGUGAUGAAGGCCUUAGGGUCGUAAAGCUCUUUUACCAGGGAUGAUAAUGACAGUACCUGGAGAAUAAGCUCCGGCUAACUCCGUGCCAGCAGCCGCGGUAAUACGGAGGGAGCUAGCGUUGUUCGGAAUUACUGGGCGUAAAGCGUACGUAGGCGGUUAUUCAAGUCAGAGGUGAAAGCCCGGGGCUCAACCCCGGAACGGCCUUUGAAACUAGGUAGCUAGAAUCUUGGAGAGGUCAGUGGAAUUCCGAGUGUAGAGGUGAAAUUCGUAGAUAUUCGGAAGAACACCAGUGGCGAAGGCGACUGACUGGACAAGUAUUGACGCUGAGGUACGAAAGCGUGGGGAGCAAACAGGAUUAGAUACCCUGGUAGUCCACGCCGUAAACGAUGAUAACUAGCUGUUCGGGCACUUGGUGCUUGAGUGGCGCAGCUAACGCAUUAAGUUAUCCGCCUGGGGAGUACGGUCGCAAGAUUAAAACUCAAGGAAUUGAACGG
rnacentral:rRNA from 1 species